AGAGUUUGAUCAUGGCUCAGGAUAAACGCUGGCGGCGUGCCUAACACAUGCAAGUCGAACGCCCUCGGGCAACUGAGGGAGUGGCGGACGGGUGAGUAACACGUGGGUAAUCUACCCUGAGGUGAGGAAUACCGGCGAGAAAUCGCCGACAAGACCGCAUACGUUUCGUGAGAAACAAAGUCGCAAGACGCCACAGGAUG
rnacentral:rRNA from 1 species